AUUGGGUGUGGUGGCACACUCCUGUAAUCCCUGAUUGCUGGAGAGGCUAAGGCUGAAGGAUCUCUAGAGCUCAGGUAGAGGUCCACAAUAGGUUCAAUAGUAAUAUGGUAAACCCCUGGGAAUCUGGGGCCACCAGGUUGCCUAAGGAGGGGUGAACUGGCAUCUGGAAAAUGGAGCAGGUCAAAGCUUCCAUACUGAUCAGAGUUGGAACUGGGCCCAUGAGUGGCCCUGCCAUUCCAGCCU
rnacentral:sRNA from 1 species